rnacentral:rRNA from 1 species
UAAGACGAACCGUGCGAACGUUAUUCGGAAUCACUGGGCUUAUAGCGCGUGUAGGCGGGCCGGCACGUCGAUGCUGAAAGCCCCCGGCUCAACCGGGGAACGGGCGUCGAUACGACCGGCCUGGAGGGGGGUAGGGGGAGCCGGAACUUCCGGUGGAGCGGUGAAAUGCGUUGAGAUCGGAAGGAACGCCCGUGGCGAAAGCGGGCUCCUGGACCCCACCUGACGCUGAGACGCGAAAGCCAGGGGAGCGAACGGGA